GACGAACGCUGGCGGCGUGCUUAACACAUGCAAGUCGAGCGGUAAGGCCCUUUCGGGGGUACACGAGCGGCGAACGGGUGAGUAACACGUGGGUGACCUGCCUUUAGCUCUGGGAUAAGCCUGGGAAACUGGGUCUAAUACCGGAUAUGACUCCGCGGUGCAUGCUGUGGGGUGGAAAGCCUUGUGCGGCUGGAGAUGGGCCCGCGGCCUAUCAGCUUGUUGGUGGGGUGAUGGCCUACCAAGGCGACGACGGGUAGCCGGCCUGAGAGGGCGACCGGCCACACUGGGACUGAGACACGGCCCAGACUCCUACGGGAGGCAGCAGUGGGGAGUCUUGCGCAAUGGGCGAAAGCCUGACGCAGCGACGCCGCGUGA
rnacentral:rRNA from 1 species